GUUGAAGGAUGUGGCUUGUUCUGUUUGGAUGAUGCAGGAUUGCUUUAAGCAGUAAGCUUACUGUUUUCAGAUGGCAUUAGCAGCAUCAGUGAUAUAGCUGUGUCAGCCUCCUUGACUACUGGAUGUCUGUAAUCGCACGGAGGAAACUAUAUUUAAGAUCUGAUAUCUUGAGGGUAAUGACUCCAGCACUUACUGACGGACAGAAUGGCUGUUAAGGCUUUCUUCACUAGCCCAGAAGAUUUUGAAAGAUAGACGGGUCUGUGAUGUACUUUUGUGAGACAGGAAAUGCAAUUUUUGGGGGUCUCUGGAAAUAGAAAGGUCAUGCAGCUUGGAACCGGUGAGACAUUACAGUCCCUAAGCCAUCAGAGAAAUGAUGAAGAAGCUGUUGUGGAUAGGGGUGGAACUCGCUCCAUUUUAAAAACACAUUUUGAAAAGGAAGAUCUAGAAGGCCAUCGAACAUUGUUCAUUGGAGUUCAUGUGCCACUGGGUGGAAGAAAAAGUCACCGGCGCCAUCGGCACCGUGGACAUAAACACAGAAAGAGAGACAGAGAGCGAGAUUCAGGAUUAGAAGAUGGGAGAGAAUCUCCUUCUUUUGAUACCCCAUCACAAAGGGUGCAGUUUAUUCUUGGAACAGAAGAUGAUGAUGAGGAACACAUUCCUCAUGAUCUCUUCACUGAACUUGAUGAAAUUUGUUGGCGUGAAGGAGAGGAUGCAGAGUGGAGGGAGACAGCAAGGUGGUUGAAGUUUGAAGAAGAUGUAGAGGAUGGUGGAGAGAGGUGGAGCAAACCAUAUGUUGCCACACUGUCACUUCAUAGCUUGUUUGAGCUGAGAAGUUGUAUCCUGAAUGGCACAGUUCUUUUGGACAUGAGAGCUAACUCCAUAGAAGAAAUUGCAGAUAUGAUUCUGGACCAGCAGGUGAGUUCUGGGCAGCUCAGUGAGGAUGUUCGUCACAGGGUGCAUGAGGCAUUACUGAAACAGCAUCACCAUCAGAACCAGAAGAAGCUGAGCAACAGGAUCCCAAUUGUAAGAUCCUUUGCUGAUAUUGGAAAGAAGCAGUCUGAGCCCCAUUCCAUGGAUAAAAAUGGUCAGAUUGUUUCCCCACAAGCUCCUCCAGCCUGUGUUGAAAACAAAAAUGAUGUGAGCAGAGAAAACAGCACUGUUGACUUUAGCAAGGUUGACCUACACUUUAUGAAGAAGAUACCACCUGGAGCUGAAGCAUCAAACAUCUUAGUUGGUGAACUAGAGUUCCUGGACCGUGCAGUUGUUGCUUUUGUUAGGUUGUCUCCUGCAGUGCUGCUCACAGGACUAGCUGAAGUUCCCAUUCCAACAAGAUUUUUGUUUAUUCUUCUUGGACCACUGGGUAAAGGGCAACAGUACCAUGAAAUUGGAAGAUCAAUUGCAACACUAAUGACAGAUGAGGUAUUCCAUGAUGUUGCUUACAAAGCAAAAGACCGGAAUGACUUGGUGUCUGGAAUUGAUGAGUUUCUUGAUCAGGUUACUGUUCUCCCUCCUGGAGAGUGGGACCCAACAAUUCGAAUAGAACCACCAAAAAAUGUUCCCUCCCAGGAGAAGCGUAAGAUCCCGGGAGUGCCAAAUGGUACUGCAGCCCAUGGGGAAGCAGAACAUCCUGGGGGACACUCUGGACCAGAACUGCAACGCACUGGAAGAUUUUUUGGAGGAUUGAUUUUAGAUAUCAAAAGAAAAGCUCCCUUCUUCUGGAGUGACUUCAGGGAUGCUCUCAGUCUGCAGUGUCUGGCAUCAUUUUUGUUUCUCUACUGUGCUUGCAUGUCUCCUGUCAUCACAUUUGGUGGUCUGCUGGGAGAAGCAACUGAAGGUCGUAUAAGUGCAAUAGAAUCGCUGUUUGGAGCAUCCAUGACUGGAAUUGCCUACUCCCUUUUUGGUGGACAGCCUCUCACCAUACUUGGCAGCACAGGACCAGUUUUAGUGUUUGAGAAGAUCUUAUUCAAAUUUUGCAAAGAGUAUGGGUUGUCAUACCUUUCUCUGAGAGCUAGCAUUGGGCUGUGGACUGCAAUCCUGUGCAUCAUCCUUGUUGCAACUGAUGCAAGCUCCCUAGUCUGCUACAUUACCCGGUUUACUGAAGAAGCUUUUGCUUCUCUUAUCUGCAUCAUUUUCAUUUAUGAGGCCUUAGAGAAGCUGUUUCAUCUCAGUGAGACAUAUCCAAUCAACAUGCAUAAUGAUUUGGAUCUGCUGACCAAGUACUCAUGCAAUUGUGUGGAGCCAGAACAUCCUAGCAAUAAAACCUUACAAUACUGGCAGGACUACAAUAUAUCUGCAUCCGAUGUGCCAUGGGGGAACCUAACUGUGUCAGAAUGUAAAAAAUUUCAUGGGGAGUUUGUUGGACGAGCCUGUGGUCAUCAUGGCCCUUAUGUUCCAGAUGUCCUCUUCUGGUCUGUCAUCUUAUUCUUUUCCACAGUAACGCUGUCAUCCACACUGAAGCAGUUCAAAACUAGCCGAUACUUCCCAACAAAGGUACGAUCUGUUGUCAGCGAUUUUGCUGUCUUUCUCACUAUUCUGUCUAUGGUUUUAAUCGACUAUGCCAUUGGGAUUCCAUCGCCAAAACUUCAGGUUCCAAAUGCUUUUAAGCCCACCAGAGAUGAUCGUGGCUGGUUUAUUACUCCUCUGGGGCCUAAUCCUUGGUGGACAGUGAUAGCUGCUGUAAUUCCAGCCCUGCUUUGUACUAUCCUUAUCUUUAUGGACCAGCAGAUCACAGCUGUCAUUAUCAAUAGAAAAGAACACAAACUAAAGAAAGGAUGUGGAUACCAUCUUGACCUACUCAUGGUGGCAGUCAUGCUUGGUGUGUGCUCUAUUAUGGGAUUGCCAUGGUUUGUUGCAGCCACUGUCCUCUCUAUUUCCCAUGUGAAUAGCUUAAAACUGGAAUCGGAGUGCUCCGCUCCAGGGGAGCAGCCGAAAUUUCUUGGAAUCCGGGAGCAAAGAGUCACAGGGCUCAUGAUUUUUGUCCUUAUGGGCUCAUCUGUCUUUUUGACAAGUAUCCUGAAGUUUAUUCCUAUGCCAGUACUUUAUGGAGUAUUUCUUUACAUGGGUGCUUCAUCUCUAAAGGGAAUUCAGCUUUUUGACAGGAUAAAGUUAUUCUGGAUGCCUGCAAAACAUCAGCCAGAUUUCAUUUAUCUGAGGCAUGUUCCUCUUAGAAAGGUCCAUCUUUUCACUAUAAUUCAGCUGAGUUGUCUUGUGCUUCUCUGGAUUAUAAAGGUUUCAAGAGCUGCCAUUGUCUUUCCUAUGAUGGUCCUAGCUUUAGUAUUUGUCCGAAAACUCAUGGAUUUCUUUUUUACCAAGCGGGAGCUCAGUUGGUUAGAUGAUUUGAUGCCCGAGAGCAAGAAAAAGAAACUGGAAGAUGCGGAGAAAGAGGAAGAGCAAAGUAUGUUAGCAAUGGAAGAGGAAGGGACUGUUCAGUUACCACUAGAAGGACAUUACAGAGAUGACCCAUCUGUGAUAAACAUUUCUGACGAAAUGGCAAAAACUGCUGUUUGGAAGACAUUGUUGAUAUCAUCAGAGAAUGCAAAAGAUAAGGAGUCAAGCUUUCCUUCUAAAAGGUCUUAAUUUUUUUACUUUAUAUAUUAUACUUGCAUUAUACUUUAUAUAUUGGUGUCAAACCAAUAUUAGAAUAUUUUGCUAGGGAUUAGAAAGAUUUCUGGCAUCUUGCAGUUUUAUUUCUUAUGUCCAAUCAUAAUAUUCUGAGCUCAAAAUGCAAAUUCCCUAUUUAUUAAAAAAAAUAAAUUACAGAUAUUUGCAUGGUACUUAGUUAUGCUCCAGUGGAAAAUGAAGUUGAGCAUGUUUGAUGCUUGUGUAAUGAACCACCGGCCUCCACCUGGAUAUUGCACAACAGCUGUUGUGUCUGUUCUGCUUGCUUUUGUUCUUUCCUCUUGACAAAGAAGUGAUCAUCACCACCCUGGAAAUAGCUGUAUGAAGAACCCAUUACUCUGAAUGCAAUCUAAUAAUAUUCGGAGUGAAAAUAAUUUUAAGAUUGCAUCACUUCAUUUUUCUGCCUACUUCACUCGUACUCAAAACAGUUAAAUAAUUUUAAAGUUUAGUCCAGCCAAACGUAAAAUGAAGCCACAAUGUUUUAUCUUUGCUGCAGAGUUACUACAGGAAUGAGAAAAUAUUAAAUUGAAGCACAGUGUGAUUUUUAAGAGUUUUUCCUCUGACUCCAUAAAUUUAAAAUUUAACUAUUUUCUAUUUAAUUGUUUCGUAUCACACUUCUGUCAUAAGCUCCCCUUCCUAAUCACUCUAGAAGCUGAUUUCCCAAAGGUAAGAUCCUGUCCCCAACCUUUUCCUUCUUUGUGUCUUCCAAUUCAGAAUGGUGUCACCCAGGAACCCAAAUGACUUGACUUUGUGUAGUUUUUGGGGAGACAGAAUGAAAUUUCAAAUGGGAAUGUAAAAUGUCUUCAUUAAAAGCCCCAAAUAUUAAACCUUGAAAUUUAAUAUAUAUUAAAAAUAGUAACUUUAGAUGUAGUGUAUUUAAAUGUUAAAUUGAAUUUAUUCCUAGAUAAUCUUUUUUAAAAUACAAAAUUAUAUUCUGCCCAUUUCUAAAUGUACUUUUCAAAAGAAGCUCCAUGUUUGAAACAGCUAGUAAUUGUUUUAUGGUGAAAAAAUGCAGUAAGAAAAAAAUUUGUAGUGAUACACAUUUUUUAAUUUUGUCACCCCAAAACGGCAUUUCAGUGUUGUUUAUUUCCCUAAACAGCAUAAACAAGACUGAACAGUUGAUGACCAGAGAAGCUUCAUUUCAGAAACCCAUGGAGUGGCCCACUAAUGUGAUCAUUUUGAUGAUAUUUCACUUGACAGUAAAAAUAGCAGUAUAGUUCUGAUUUGCCUUCUACCCUACACGUCACAGUGAAAUCAGUGUGGUGCAUGGAAGAAGGAUGUACUGGAGGAUUUUCUUACCUUAAGUGCCUCUGCUGUCCAGGCUAUAAUAGCCUGGAGAAAGUAAAGAACCUGAUGGGGUACAUUCACACCCCCUGGGUAUGUAGGAGUUGUAAUUUUUCUGGUGGAUAUUGCUUUCUUUGAUGGUAGGAUAGAUUAUGUAAACAUGUACUGGUUUUACCUGAAAUUUUCAAAAACUCUCUGAGCAUCCAAAUAGACUGUGGUUACAGACAACAUUGGUAAGAGAUGAUAUGGCCUUUCCAGUGCAGUACAAUAGAAACUAAUUCUCUAAUGAGCUAGUUUUCAAUCUGUUCUUGUAUCUUUGCUCAUGAAAUCAGACUCAGGAGAAAAGCUUUUUAUGAUUUUAGGUAUGAGCGUUCUCUUGUAAAUGAACAGCCUUAAAAACUUCUGAAAUCCUACAUUUUCAUGUGCUCUGCCUUGUCUCAGAUUUGCACACAGGAGUAGAUUCAUAGAACUUUAAAUCUGGAAGUCUUGCUUUCUGAUAAGGAAAAACCAUAGACAACUUUAACCUUAAAUCAUAUUAGCAACAGAACUACAGAAACAUUAUAAACCAUAAUGCAUGUAUCAUUACAUGAAUAUAUAAUUAAAUUCUAGGUAAUUACUGAGAAGAAAGAAAGCUCGGAAUGGUAGCAGUUGUAAGGAUGAUUUUUGCAAAUGAUCAAGAUCAGCAGUAUUAGAUUACACAAUUCCCUCAGUGAAGGGUAUCUUACAAUAGGGGGGAGAAAAAUCAUGUUUUGAAAAAAAUUUUCCUGAUGCCUUUCAAAGUUCAACAACGAAGUGUUUAGUACUCCCUUUCCUGCUGUCAGGUCUGCUUUCUUAUACUAAUAUCCCAAAAUAUUUUUAAAUGGGGAUAAUUAAAUUAUGAUAUUGUACUAUGAUUUCAUGUAAUGCCUUUUAUGCACGGCAUAGUCCAAUUAACAACAUAGGGUGAUUUCUGGAAUACUUAAAAUCUAGAAGUUCUUCUAGUAAUUAAAUGCGGAGUUGACUUGGCCGAUUAUAAAUUAUGAUCAUCUACAAAGAGAGAUUUUAGGCAGGAAGGAUUUAUACAAAUUACUUCCCAGCCUGAUACAUGGAUAAUUUCUAUCAUAAGAUCUGCCCCUAGCUCUGUGAAGUAGCAUAGUGUGUCUGACAGUUUUUACAUCCCAGGCUCCUAACAGUUUUUUAGUGUCUAAAGAGGGGACUUACAUGAGAUUCAGUCAACUCUUGCCUAACAAUAGAGGCACAUGGACUUUACAACUUUCCAACCUUAAUUUUUCAUUAUUAAAAUUCCUAGGGACCUAAAAGUCUGCCUUUGAGCCUGUCUUCGUAGAAUUGAACAACAAGGCACCUUUCUGAAACACAGCCCUCUCUGAUACAUGUAAUUAAAUAUUCCACUGUCUUUGGUUAUAAUAUUAAGCCCUUCAGAUAGCAAUUUCAAAGGAUAUGCAGAAGAUCUGACCACGUAUAGAAGGCAGACUUAGUUGGUCUUUUAAAGUAUUGGAGAAAGAGACAUCUGUCACUUUGUAGAUGGUAUGAGUUCCCUUUUCUACUUGAAGAUAUGCAAAUCCUACAUCUUCUCAAACCUUCCUGCUGAGGCAUGUUAGACUACUCCCUUGGUAGGAAGGAAGAGAGCUCUAACUCCCUUUCAGAUCCACCAGUUACAUAUUUUACUGGUAAAAGACUGGUCUUGUCCCUUUUUUUUUUUCAAAUUUCUCAAGGCAUUAAAGCCCACAUCUGCAGGAGAUGCUCAGAGAUGUGAAUCCUAAAUAGAAAGAAGACUUUCCUGGUAUCACAGAGGCACCUAAAACGUGGAAAUAUUAUACACUGUAAGGCACACAACACCUCAGUGUUUGCUUUUAUUAAGCACAGGUAACUCCCUGCCUGCUGUACUGCUGCACCUUAAAUUCACCCACCCCUGGAAUUUGUUUGCAUACCCUUUGUGUGCAGAAAGUGUAACAUACCCAAUUCUAUCACUGCUCUACAGAAGGUGACAGAUUUGGCAGUUGAAGUGGCAGAAGUUGGUAUUCUUUAGCUAUUUCCAUUAACACCUCUGGAAGCUGCCAUAGGCAUAGAAGUAAGCUUUGGCUGAACUGAAUUGUAUCCUUAAAGCAAUUUUUAUGUGAAGAAAAAUGUCAGAUGAUUGUAAAAAUGUGCAUGAAUCGCCUUAAGAAUUUGAGAAUUGAUCUUGCUUUCUUUAAGCCUUGUGUAACUCAGCCUAUUUCUCAUUCAUUCUAGUUAAGGAAUUAUUCCCAUGAAACCUGUGCUGAAAUCAGAAAAGAGAAGAAAGCUGACUCAGGGAAAGGUGUUGACCGGGAGACUUGUCUAUGACUUGUUCUUCAAGUAAUUUUUUUACAAACGAAUGACAGGAGUGCCACAACCACUAAAUAGAAAUGAUUUACCUUGUAACUUUUGUCUUUCAUCUCAAACUAGCACAGGUAAUGUAGUGCAAUAUUUGUCUCAUUUCACCUUGUCUACCUUGUCUAGUAUCUGUGUAAAUGUCUGCAGUAGCCAAUGCAAAAAAUCUUUGUGUUCAUUGCUGAUAUUGGCCAUUUAUCAGUAUCCGUAUCAGAACUGUAACAAGCAAAUUUUCUUUUAAAUCCAAUUCCCUGUUAAUAGGUUUGUACUGUAUUUUGCUACUUUUUCUGUGUGAGAAUACUUAAUAAUCUUCAUUCAGGAUGAACUUGAAAACCCUAGUUACAAUUUUUUUAAAACAUCACCUAACUCUAGUAAAUAAUUUCAGGAGACCCAAAUUGACAAGCAAACAUUAAGAAGUUUAUAAAAUAACAACUGAUCUGACCUUAUGAACAAACUAACAAGGACACUACUUUCCUCCUUAAACUGUCCUUUUGAAGUCAUGGAUUACUCUUGCAAUGAGGACUGCGGGGUUCAGAUUCUGUAUUUGGGAAGUAUUCCUUGAUUUAAUACAGUGUAUUUAAUAUUAAAAUUUGUAUGUAACUGGAACAUAGUCAUAUAUAUAUAUAUAUAUAUAUAAAAAUAUAUAUUGAAACAUUUUCUCACCUUAGUCGAAAAACACCCUUUGAUGUGAAACAUGGGUACAGUAUUUCUUAAAAUGCAAUCUGUGAUGACAGUAUCUUGUAUUGUAUGAAUGUUGCGGGGGUAGGGCCAAACAAAUGCAUUUUAUCAUUAAUGAAUCCAUUAUUUUAUAAUAGGAAAAAUUUUGUACAAACUAUACAAACUAUACCCCACAUGCAGUUAUAUCACCUGCCCAAUAAUCUUCCUCUUUAUUGCCUAAAAUUCAAUCGCAUAAAGGGCAUAUUUAUACUGUCUUCUAACAACUGUAAACCUCUUAGUUUCAGAGAUUGUGUAUAAUACUUAAAUGGGUAUCCUGCUGUUGUUUUGUUACAGCUCUUCAUUAUUCCAUCAAGUACGUAUUGAUUAAAAGAUAAAAACAACAUUGCAAAGUAAAAUGAGGCUUUAAAGCUAUCACAAAGACAUUUUUCGUAAUGGAAUUUGUUACUGCCUGAUCCUUUAAGCUGUUCUUUUGUGUAAAAGACUGCAAGACUAGGUAUUGAAUGAAUAGAGAUGUGGAGCUAAAGUUUUAUUGUGUUAUUUGGAAUUCAAUGAUUUUUAAAUUUUUUAAGGUAAAUUUUUAAAUUAUUAAAAUGAAGGCUAAAUCUCAUUAUUAUGCUAUUACUUUGAAUUCUAAAAAUAAGAACUGUAUUAUUGCAAUCUUUGUAAUAAUUCAUCCACAGGGCUCUAACAUUCACCAGCUUUCCAAAAUACUAAUCUUUCUAUACACCUCAUGUGAGCAAUUUUUCCCAUCCACAUUUAAAGUAUUCUAAUGUUUUUGUGUAUGUGAGGGUGUAUGUUUUACUAUUUUAGCCAUAAAUAAUUGCAUUUUGCUGCAAACUUAAUAGGGUCACUGUUCUAAAUUUACCUUAACAUUAUUAAAGCCCGUUAAAAGCCAUUUUUAUGAAGAAAAAAAACCUCUAGUGGACACAAAGAAGGAUUUACAUUUAAUUCAAUGUUUGUAUUUGUAAAUUUAGGAAAAAAUGCUGAUGCAUUAAGGUUAAAUGCUUUGUUUUGUGUACUUGAUGAUAAAUUGUAAGAUUCCAGUUGUUUUAAGGUUAGUAUAGGAGCUCAAUACUGGUUUGUCCUGAAAGCAGCCUGAUGGUGUUUUAACAUGUUGCUGACUUUGUUACAGAUAAUGUGUACAAUCAAAAUGUAUUAGCUUCACUUGACCAACUCUUAGAAUAUUAAGAAGUCAGUGUAUUCAAUGGCAUUCUGUAUUUCUGUUCAGUAUUUCAGAGAGGUUUUAUUUUAAAACACUCUGGUUUUGCGUGAAUUUAAAUGCUAUUCCAAUGUUAAUCUUAACAUUCUGACAUCACACACAGUAUAAAGCAGAUGUAGUGCUAUAUUUACUUCUAAUUUCAUAUUCCUGGUCAAAAUUACUCAAUUUCUUGGAUGUAAUUUAUUACAAAAGCUUAUGUGUACAUGUGAAUAGACUAUUGUGUUUUUCACAAUUAAGAUAUGUUAUGUGAUAAUAAAUAUUUAUCCUAACUAA